rnacentral:rRNA from 1 species
UACGAAGGGGGCUAGCGUUGUUCGGAAUUACUGGGCGUAAAGCGCACGUAGGCGGAUAUUUAAGUCAGGGGUGAAAUCCCAGAGCUCAACUCUGGAACUGCCUUUGAUACUGGGUAUCUUGAGUAUGGAAGAGGUAAGUGGAAUUGCGAGUGUAGAGGUGAAAUUCGUAGAUAUUCGCAGGAACACCAGUGGCGAAGGCGGCUUACUGGUCCAUUACGUGACGCUGAGG